rnacentral:rRNA from 1 species
AGAAUCAACGCUGGCGGCGUGCCUAACACAUGCAAGUCGAACGCGGUUACCCCGCAAGGGGUGACUGAGUGGCAAACGGGUGAGUAACGCGUGGGUGACCUACCUCUGAGUGGGGGAUAACGUUUCGAAAGGAACGCUAAUACCGCAUGACAUCCUGCCUUUGGACAGGCGGAAAUCAAAGCCGGGGAUCGCAAGACCUGGCGCUUGGAGAGGGGCCCGCGUCCGAUUAGCUAGUUGGUGGGGUAACGCUCACCAAGGCGACGAUCGGUA